rnacentral:rRNA from 1 species
GACGAACGCUGGCGGCGUGCUUAACACAUGCAAGUCGAACGGUAAGGCCCUUCGGGGUACACGAGUGGCGAACGGGUGAGUAACACGUGGGUGAUCUGCCCUGCACUUCGGGAUAAGCCUGGGAAACUGGGUCUAAUACCGGAUAGGACCACUGCCUGCAUGGGUGGUGGUGGAAAGCUUUUGCGGUGUGGGAUGGGCCCGCGGCCUAUCAGCUUGUUGGUGGGGUGAUGGCCUACCAAGGCGACGACGGGUAGCCGGCCUGAGAGGGUGACCGGCCAACCUGGGACUGAGAUACGGCCCAGUGUCCUACGGGAGGCAGCAGUGGGGAAUAUGGCACAAUGGGGGCAAGCCUGAUGCAGCGACGCCGCGUGAGGGAUGACGGCCUUCGGGUUGUGAACCUCUUUCAGCACCGACGAAGCGCAAGUGACGGUAGGUGCAGAAGAAGGACCGGCCAACUACGUGCCAGCCGCCGCAGUAA